UACGAAGGGGGCUAGCGUUGUUCGGAAUUACUGGGCGUAAAGAGCUCGUAGGCGGUCUGUCGCGUCGGCUGUGAAAACCUGGGGCUCAACUCCAGGCCUGCAGUCGAUACGGGCAGACUAGAGUUCGGUAGGGGAGACUGGAAUUCCUGGUGUAGCGGUGAAAUGCGCAGAUAUCAGGAGGAACACCGGUGGCGAAGGCGGGUCUCUGGGCCGAAACUGACGCUGAGGAGCGAAAGCGUGGGGAGCGAACAGG
rnacentral:rRNA from 1 species